rnacentral:rRNA from 1 species
UACACACCGCCCGUCACACCAUGGGAGUGGGUUGUACCAGAAGUAGUUAGCCUAACCGCAAGGAGGGCGACUACCACGGUGAGAUUCAUGACUGGGGUG